UUUUGUACGAGAGUUUGAUCCUGGCUCAGGACGAACGCUGGCGGCACGCCUAACACAUGCAAGUCGAGCGCGAAAGGCACUUCGGUGCCGAGUAGAGCGGCGCACGGGUGAGUAACGCGUGGCCAACCCGCCCCCGGGACCGGGACAACCCCCCGAAAGGGGGGCUAAUACCGGAUGACACCCAGGCCGCAGGGCCGGGGUUGAAAGCUCCGGCGCCCGGGGAGGGGGCCGCGUCCCAUCAGCUGGCCGGUGAGGUGAAGGCUCACCGGGGCGACGACGGGUAGCGGGUCUGAGAGGACGGUCCGCCACACUGGCACUGAGACACGGGCCAGACUCCUGCGGGAGGCAGCAGUGGGGAAUCUUGCGCAAUGGGCGCAAGCCUGACGCAGCGAUGCCGCGUGGGUGAAGAAGGCCCUCGGGUCGUAAAGCCCUUUUGGCGGGGAGGAUGAUGACGUCACCCGCCGAAUAAGCGCCGGCUAACUACGUGCCAGCAGCCGCGGUAACACGUAGGGCGCGAGCGUUGUCCGGAAUCACUGGGCGUAAAGGGCGCGCAGGUGGGUCCGCAAGCGGGGGGUGAAAGGCCGGGGCUCAACCCCGGGACUGCUCACCGAACUGCGGGCCUCGAGGGGGUCAGGGGCCAGCGGAAUUCCGGGUGGAGAGGUGAAAUUCGUAGAGAUCCGGAGGAACGCCGGCGGCGAAAGCGGCUGGCUGGGGCCGCCCUGACACUGAGGCGCGAGAGCGUGGGGAGCGAACAGGAUUAGAUACCCUGGUAGUCCACGCCGUAAACGAUGGGCACCGGGCGUCCGGGGGGCCGACCCCCCUGGGCGCCGCAGCAAACGCGAUGAGUGCCCCGCCUGGGGAGUACGGCCGCAAGGCUAAAACUCAAAGGAAUUGACGGGGGCCCGCACAAGCGGUGGAACAUGUGGUUUAAUUCGAGGCAACGCGAAGAACCUUACCUGGGCUUGACAUCCCCGGGCCGCCCCGGAGACGGGGCUUCCCCUUCGGGGGCCGGGUGACAGGUGCUGCAUGGCUGUCGUCAGCUCGUGUCGUGAGAUGUUGGGUUAAGUCCCGCAACGAGCGCAACCCCCGUCCUCAGUUGCCAGCGGCUCGGCCGGGCACUCUGGGGAGACUGCCGGUGACAAGCCGGAGGAAGGCGGGGACGACGUCAAGUCAUCAUGGCCCUCAUGCCCAGGGCUACACACGUGUUACAAUGGGGGCGACAGCGGGCCGCGAAGCCGCGAGGCGGAGCGAAUCCCCAAAAGCCCCCCCAGUUCGGAUCGCAGUCUGCAACCCGACUGCGUGAAGCCGGAAUCGCUAGUAAUCGCGGAUCAGCACGCCGCGGUGAAUCCGUUCCCGGGCCUUGUACACACCGCCCGUCACACCAUGGGAGUCGGCGGGGGCGGAAGCCGCCGGGCCAACCCCUUCGGGGGGGGCAGGCGUCCAAGCUCACGUCGGCGACUGGGGUGAAGUCGUAACAAGGUAGCCGUAGGAGAACCUGCGGCUGGACCACCUCCUUUCU
rnacentral:rRNA from 1 species